GCUUGCUUCUCUUGAGAGCGGCGGACGGGUGAGUAAUGCCUAGGAAUCUGCCUGGUAGUGGGGGAUAACGCUCGGAAACGGACGCUAAUACCGCAUACGUCCUACGGGAGAAAGCAGGGGACCUUCGGGCCUUGCGCUAUCAGAUGAGCCUAGGUCGGAUUAGCUAGUUGGUGAGGUAAUGGCUCACCAAGGCGACGAUCCGUAACUGGUCUGAGAGGAUGAUCAGUCACACUGGAACUGAGACACGGUCCAGACUCCUACGGGAGGCAGCAGUGGGGAAUAUUGGACAAUGGGCGAAAGCCUGAUCCAGCCAUGCCGCGUGUGUGAAGAAGGUCUUCGGAUUGUAAAGCACUUUAAGUUGGGAGGAAGGGCAGUAAAUUAAUACUUUGCUGUUUUGACGUUACCGACAGAAUAAGCACCGGCUAACUCUGUGCCAGCAGCCGCGGUAAUACAGAGGGUGCAAGCGUUAAUCGGAAUUACUGGGCGUAAAGCGCGCGUAGGUGGUUUGUUAAGUUG
rnacentral:rRNA from 1 species